CAUCGGUGCUCCUCCACUCUUUUUCUUUUCCUUCCUUGCUGUCAUAUGGGCCCUACUGCCACAUCAUCGUCAUCAAUCUUCAGCCACGAACGGACACAACUAUGACUGCCUACGUUUUCAGUUUCUGUGUGUUUACUCGUCAAUUGAUUCCGGGUGUUUUAAGCCACUAUUUAACGAUCCGUUUGUUCCUAUUUAAGCUCCACACCCUCCUCUUUAUUUCCCCUCAAACCACACAGAUCGAGAGCCUCCAGGCUGCUCGAAUUUAGCCUCGCAAGUCCGCGGUACUUCCGCAGUAUAUCGUCGAAUUCAGUGAGCUCAGUCCACGCGACGACGCCAUCUUCGUCUGUGAGCACGUCCGCGGGGCAGUUUCCGGCUAGCGAUUCCGGACGAAUCCGUCGAUCUCCAUGUUCCCGUAUUCGCCGAUUUAUAUUUGUCAAAUCAAGCGCCGUUGCCUGCUUCAACAUCGCCGGGGAAUCAUCGUCGAAGAGGCGCGGUUAUAUUCCAGCGAUCCCCAUCUCCUGUAGAUUGUGGUUGUGCUGAUUGCAACGAGUGUUUCUGCGAAGAGUGUACCAACUCCUCAUCUCACCAAGGC